UGAACCUCUAAGAAACAAAGACAAAGGGCGGGGAGAAGGACUGAACCCAGGCUGAAAAGUGUCUGGCCUGUGAAAGGAAUACCUGGAGUUUUAAACUGUAAGCAAGAGCAGUUUGUCUUCAAGAAACUCUGUAAACUGCUUAAAACAACAUUUAAGGUGGGUGUAUCCCUACCUGUAUGUGGCUGGAGGAGUCUUGAGGGCCUGGCUCAGCAGGACUGGAUAAGGGAGCCCAGGCUGGUGGAACCCCAGUACAUCAGGUGGCAUCUCAGAGUGUAAUCUGUCACACUGGCUUCAUUGUGAUUCACCUUCCACGACAAGCUCUCCCCCAGACCAGCUCCGUGUGGAAGAGAAUAGGGCUAACAUGACACUUGUAGCUGCACAGAACUGAUAAUGAAGUUUACCCAUGAAGUUAUGACAUAUAUUCUAAAAGGAGAAAAAUGGUGUCAGCAUGCCCCCAUGUGGUUGUAGACUCCUAUACACAGUACCAGAGAGAGACUACUGUUUGCUCACUAUUCGGGAGAGAUUUAGAGGCAAAUCAAUCAAUUCAGCAUCAAAUCCAAAUAAAGUUCAUGGAGAUUUAGUGGUUUUUCUUUAAAUAAUUCUGCUGCCCUGUUUCACUGAAAAAUGAAAUGAAUAUAUGGAAGUGCUUUCCCCCAAAAUCUUACUAUCUCAAGUGUAUUGUGCAAAUGUUUAAUGGUCAUUUAUUUU